UGGGGAAUUUUGGACAAUGGGGGAAACCCUGAUCCAGCCAUCCCGCGUGUGCGAUGAAGGCCUUCGGGUUGUAAAGCACUUUUGGCAGGAAAGAAACGUCGCGGGUUAAUACCCCGCGGAACUGACGGUACCUGCAGAAUAAGCACCGGCUAACUACGUGCCAGCAGCCGCGGUAAUACGUAGGGUGCAAGCGUUAAUCGGAAUUACUGGGCGUAAAGCGUGCGCAGGCGGUUCGGAAAGAAAGAUGUGAAAUCCCAGAGCUUAACUUUGGAACUGCAUUUUUAACUACCGGGCUAGAGUGUGUCAGAGGGAGGUGGAAUUCCGCGUGUAGCAGUGAAAUGCGUAGAUAUGCGGAGGAACACCGAUGGCGAAGGCAGCCUCCUGGGAUAACACUGACGCUCAUGCACGAAAGCGUGGGGAGCAAACAGGAUUAGAUACCCUGGUAGUCCACGCCCUAAACGAUGUCAACUAGCUGUUGGGGUCUUCGGACCUUGGUAGCGCAGCUAACGCGUGAAGUUGACCGCCUGGGGAGUACGGUCGCAAGAUUAAAACUCAAAUGAAUUGACGGGGGUCAUAGCU
rnacentral:rRNA from 1 species